UCCUUAAAAGACUGGAUAGAUGCUACACAC
rnacentral:piRNA from 2 species